AACGAACGCUGGCGGCAUGCCUAACACAUGCAAGUCGAACGAGACCUUCGGGUCUAGUGGCGCACGGGUGCGUAACGCGUGGGAACAUGCCCUUAGGUUCGGAAUAACUCCCCGAAAGGGGUGCUAAUACCGGAUAUUAUCUUCGGUCCAAAGGUUUAUCGCCUUUGGAUGGGCCCGCGUUGGAUUAGCUAGUUGGUAGGGUAAAAGCCUACCAAGGCGACGAUCCAUAGCGGGGCUGUGAGGCUCAUCAGCCACACUGGGACUGAGACACGGUCCAGACUACUACGGGAGGCAGCAGUGGGGAAUAUAGGACAGUGGGCGGAAUCCUGAACCAGUACUGCCGGGUGAGUGAUGAAGGCCUGAGGGUUGUAAAGCUCGUUUACCCGGGACGAUAAUGACAGUACCGGGAGAAUAAGCUCCGGCUAACUCCGUG
rnacentral:rRNA from 1 species